GGUCACUUUUGUCUUUCCCAGUUUGUUCUCUCAGUGACUCCCUAGUAUGGAGGAAGAUUUGCUCCUAUGUUGUAGUUGUCUAUUCUAAUAUAAAAUGGUGUAUUGGAAAUGGAGCAAAAAUAGAUGUGAUUUUUAAUCCAUGAUUAUCAUCCAUUCCUCUAUCCACCUCAAUAUUCCGACCCCAAUUAGCAAUAAAGUUGACAGG
rnacentral:lncRNA from 1 species